UGGCUGUUGAUCAUCCUGGACUCAGAUGC
rnacentral:piRNA from 1 species